UCUCCGUAGGUGAACCUGCGGAGGGAUCACUACAGAGUUCGUGCCCUCACGGGUAGAUCUCCCACCCUGUGUUAUUAUACCUUUGUUGCUUUGGCGGGCCGCCCCCGGCUACCGGCCCCGGCUGGUACGCGCCCGCCAGAGGACCCCAAACUCUGAAUGUUAGUGUCGUCUGAGUACUAUACAAUAGUUAAAACUUUCAACAACGGAUCUCUUGGUUCUG
rnacentral:misc_RNA from 1 species